GGUUUCUUGGCGCAGUUGGUUAGCGCGUCUCCUUAACAACUUCAGAUCGUUAGGGCUUACGGAGGAGGUCGCCGGUUCGAACCUGGCAGAAAUCA